CAGCAGACAGGACAGUGAAGUUUUGGGGUUUAGAGACCUUGGAACUGAUUGGAUCGACCAGACCGGAUGAGGCUACAUGAGUAUGAUCAAUUGCCUUUCGCCCAAAUGGAUCCUGUAGCCCGGCUUUUUCGCACCCCCUUUCGGAAGCUUAAAAAGAAAGCCCUACAG